rnacentral:ncRNA from 1 species
CGACGUAGAUUAUGCCGAAGCAGCUUAGGCUGUCAAGGCACAGUCGUCCUGACUGGUAACGGUCAGGAGCAUCACCGGGUGAAUUGCUGGAAAACCCUGAGAGCCCUUCAUACCACAACGCAGCCGGAAACGGCAGACGUGAAGGUUGGAAAAAUGAAGGGAUUGGGCAAUCAGCAGCCAAGCCCCUGUACCGAAAGGUUGGGGAAGGUUCAACGACUAGGGCAUACCACCUGCAGCCGCGAAGCGGUAUGGUGAUGAAGCCCGUAGGGCGCCAAAAAGCGCUCGAAGUGCCCGGCCCCGAACAGGCUCAAUAAGAGCGCUGCGGGUGAAGAUAUAGUCUGGUCAACAAGGAAACCUGUUG